rnacentral:tRNA from 1 species
GGGGGCAUAGGCUAAUGGCAAACUGUCUCUCUCCAAAAGAGAAUUUCCAGGUUCGACCCCUGGUGCCCCCGCCA